ensembl:lncRNA
AUGUCAACAGCAAGCGAAGGACAACUGCAGCCUUGCAGAUUAGCCUCCAAAGCCAAAAACAGCAGGCUGUCCGAGGGGAAUGGUGAGCACCAUAAAAGGUUAUCUUCCCUUCAACAAGGCGCGUCUCCUCCAAGACCUUUACUGGGAAAGGUCUGAAACAUGAUAGUCACAACUUUCCAGGAAAGAAAAUGAAAAAUGUUCAGAGUUCAAAAAACUCAUUAUAAACUGUGCAUGCUUUUAUUGUUUGGCCAAUAAUUUCUUGUUUACUUUAAUAGCGAUCAAAGCAACAAAAUAAAUAAAUAAAAUAAAUGGCUGAAAACAGCCCACUAAAUCAAAGAAUUAACAGAGAAUUCAAUUUCUUUGGAAAUAAGGUGUUUUCUGAUGAAACCCUCAAGAAAAAAUCCUUUUCAAUAGAUGUAGAUAGUAUCAGUUAUAGUUAUUGUUUUUUUUUUACUUGAAUAAAUGUUACAUUAAGAUGGAAACGUGAGUGUUCAGGAAAGAAAAUUACCUUAUUAACCCACUGUCUUAAAUGUGAUCUACACAUCUUUUUAACAUGGUGUAACUGCAUUAUGAAUAAUUCAUUAUUAAUAAUUUUGCAUUAUUUUAAUACAGCAAGUAGUCAUUUUAAACAGGAACUAAAAUAGAUGAAUUCUUCUCACCAUAAAGUUUUACAAUCAGCUAAAUUUUCAUGCCAAAGGUGUUUUUGAUAUUUAAUGGAAGCAGCCAUUUUGAAAUGAGCAGGCCCUUCUACUGCCCCUAGUGGAUUGAUGAUGAACUACUUGGCAGAAAACAUGAACCAUAUUACAGUAGGUUUUUAAAGAAGGUUUGGACUAUGCUAUAUGAGAUUGAGGUCUCAGAAAUGAAUGGUGCAAAUAUGAUAUUAAUGCUUAUAUAGGGUUAAUUAAAAUGUAACUGUUCUGGUGAAAAACAGCCAUAAUAUGUGAGAUGUUUAUUUUAGUGUUUUUUAUGCAUAAAAAAUUCCAACAUUUUUUUCGUUAAGAUGUUGACAAGUCAACAAUAUUUUUUUAUUUUUCUUGAAAUGCUCAAUCUUUCACAAAUGAACAUUAGUGUCUUUACAUACAGUCAUGUCAAAAGGAAGCAAUGGUAACCCCAGCCAAACCAACGACCACCUGUCUCUAAACACCGCCUGCGAUCUUUUUCUCUCUCUCCUUUUUUUGUCCAUUUUUUCAUAAAACCAUCAGCAAAACCACAAUCACGGUUUUUUACACACUGAAAAAAUGGGAGGGGGGUGAGGCUACUACAUGUCAUCACAGUCAGCAGAAGAGAAGACACAGUAUAGAGGAAAACAGAACAUCACCUUGGCUGAAAAGAGGAUAUAAAAACCAAACAAAACAAACAUUACAGUGUGAAACUUUACAUUUAUACACAAGCACCAAAAAGCCAAACAUGGUACAUAGACAUUAAAACUAGAAUCCAGUGAAGGCAAUUCAUCAGAACCCAGCAGGCUAUCACGGGAAAGAAAAACAUAUUGGAGUCACAUAGAAAAGAAGAAAAAAAAAGUAAUAAUUGAAUCUUUUUUUUGGGAUCAAAUUAAAAAAUGUUCUGUUGGCAUCCAUUUUUCCCUUCGCUACAACUCUAGUCACCAAUUAUACGUUUUCUAGGGGCUUUGGGGGUCACCUUGGAUCACACUACAAAGCCAGGAUAAGACCACAAAAAUAAACAGUAGCUAUGCAGAGCUUUUUGCCUCCACACCAGAUUAACUCGUCAUGAACUCAGUGCACUUUAGUGUUUACAUAAAUGUGCCUUAAGCCCCCCACCCCCCUUUUUGUGUCUAAGUCCUCUUACCAACACCAGAAUUCGAACUUCUUGCUUUGAUGCGUAUCUAUACAGGUCUAUACACAUUCCCUGUCUAUGUUCCAGUAGGCUUUUCCAUUUUUUUUUAAGUGAUGGGCAUGGGAGGUUGGAAAUAAAUACAGUGGGCUAGCGAAUGGUAACA